rnacentral:rRNA from 1 species
UACGAAGGGGGCUAGCGUUGCUCGGAAUCACUGGGCGUAAAGGGUGCGUAGGCGGGUCUUUAAGUCAGGGGUGAAAUCCUGGAGCUCAACUCCAGAACUGCCUUUGAUACUGAGGGUCUUGAGUUCGGGAGAGGUGAGUGGAACUGCGAGUGUAGAGGUGAAAUUCGUAGAUAUUCGCAAGAACACCAGUGGCGAAGGCGGCUCACUGGCCCGGAACUGACGCUGAGACGCGAAAGCGUGGGGAGCAAACAGG